GUCCGAUCGGGUGAAAAGAAAACGAGGGAGAUUUGAAAAUUUGAAAGUUUGGAUGAAUUCGAAUCUUGGAAUUUUCAUCGAGUCGAGCGGAGAAANAGAGAGAGAGAGGGAGGGAGAGAGGAAAGAAGNAGGUAGAUUUGUAGGCAGAUUCGAACCUUGAAACUUCCAUUCGAUCGAGCGAAAAAAGAGAGGAUGGAAAUUUGGAAAUUUAUACGCAAAUGAAUUCGAACGAGAAUGAUUCGGAAAGCAAACGAGAAGCAAGGAGAAUGAAAUGGAU